AUCACGAUAGCUCAACUAACAGAGCAUUUUUCCGGCAAGGGAAUGUUGCCGGUUCGAUUCCGGCUCGUGAUU
rnacentral:tRNA from 1 species